CGGAGAAGCUGUACAUCUGGAAGGCAAAUCCUGAGGACGAUCAGGACUCUACCAUCAAGGAUUCCUCACACGCAUGAGCUGAACCUCACCUGAUCCUGUUUGGUCGGGGGCAGACGCACCUGAGCUGAACCCCACCUGAUCCGGACAUCCUGCUGGUCCCGUCUCCUCAGUUCAUCUGAGCCUCUUCCUCCAGAAGACAUGCUGAGCUCGGCGGUCUGAGGCUGAUACCAGGUAUCCAUGGCUGAAGGAGCUGAUGGUGGAGCCGUGCUGAAAGAGCGGAUGGAGGAGCCGUGCUGACGGCCCUGCCUGGUGGAGGAGCCGUGCUGACGGCCCUGCCUGGUGGAGGAGCCGUGCUGACGGCCCUGCCUGGUGGAGGAGCCGUGCUGACGGCCCUGCCUGGUGGAGGAGCCGUGCUGACGGCCCUGCCUGGUGGAGGAUGUCUGUCGUGGGGUAGAUGGAGCCUGACUCUGUGACAUCACACUCACUGCCACUUCUCGUAGAAUACUGCUACCACAAACCACCGGCGUUUGUAACAAUAUACCAGACGACUACAUCUGUUUUACCACAUGUUGAAGCAAGACUUCUGCUGUUUGUUCCAGACCAGGACUCUGUCUGAGGAGAGCAGAUGGAGGAGCUGAGAUGCUGGAGGACAACUAGGAAUCGACCAACAAGGAUUCUUCAACGUGUUUCUGGAGCGGAGGCCAGCUGGUAGGGGC